AACGAACGCUGGCGGCAGGCUUAACACAUGCAAGUCGAACGAGAAGCCGGACUUCGGUCUGGUGGAGAGUGGCGCACGGGUGAGUAACGCGUGGGGAUUUACCCAGCAGUACGGGAUAACAUCGGGAAACCGGUGCUAAUACCGCAUACGCCCUUCGGGGGAAAGAUUUAUCGCUGUUGGAUGAACCCGCGUAAGAUUAGAUAGUUGGUGGGGUAAUGGCCUACCAAGUCGACGAUCUUUAGCUGGUCUGAGAGGAUGAUCAGCCACACUGGAACUGAGACACGGUCCAG
rnacentral:rRNA from 1 species